rnacentral:lncRNA from 1 species
GCUCAAAUGACAGGUGCCAUUCAGAGGAUGAUGGGGGCCUCUGAGGACAGGGGGAUCAAGGAGGACGUCAUGGGAGAGCUGCGGGCCAGGGAAGAUGUCACUGGCAUGGCAUGAGUUGUGGAAAAUAAGAAAAUCAGCUGACCAAGGUCUUGGGAAAUAAGAUGGGACAGGAGCUGUUAGACUGGCCAUUGGAAGCGUGGGAUCAGUCUUCGGUCAGACUCUUCUGCCAUGUAGCUGCCCACGGUGCACGGAUCAGCACUGAGCUAACUGCUGCCAAUCCUCCCCUCCCCGCCAAGGAAGACCAGCCCCGAGCCAACAUCCAUGCCCAUCUUCCUCCACUUUACAUGCGGGACACCUACCACAGCAUGGCGUGCCAAGUGGUGCCAUGUCCGCACCCGGGGUCUGAACCAGCGAACCCCAGGCCGCCAGGGCGGAACGUGCGCGCUUAACCCCUGCGUCACCAGGCCGGCCCUGUGGAAAAAUUCUUGAGAAUGGAAUUUUGAAGUCAGGAAGACUGAAUGAAGUCCUUGUGUCUAUCCAUCAAGAAAGUAUAUCCAAAGAAAACGGAGGGUUUUAUGUAUAUGCGGAUGAAGAAAGCUCAAUUUGAAAAAGUUAGGAUACUUUGAAAAUGUGGAUUUGUCAUUCAUAAAAACGUUUUCUUGAAGCGUUCUUGAAGUUCCUUACCAGGUGCCAAAGGAAAGAAGCCUCGCAGGACUGGAGACAGUUUACCUGAAGCCACAUGCACUGGGAAUGCGGAGCACACUGGAAGUGGCUCUCUAGUCAAACGAGGUCCUUCCAUGAAGAGUAGUUGGCAUGUUUUGAAGCAGGUUAUGGAGGAAUUGGCAGCCUUGCCAUUCACUCAGCAAGUCACUCGAUGAAACUACAGACAUCUUUCAAUGUAUCCCCUUCCUUAUUUUGUUCAUGACAACCCUGCUAACAUGAACGAGGAAGAAUUCUUGUUCUGUGGGCGCCUUUGGAAAUGAUAAAGACUGCUGAUGUUUUGGAAAUGGUAUAAAGGUUUCUUUUUUUUGUUUUUUGUUUUUGUCAAACAAACCUGACUGGACGGAAAAGCUUCCUAUCCUUGCACAGGAGUUCUCGCAAUGCGUUCCUGCUUGGUUGCACAUCCAAUGUUG